GACAGAGGGUGCAAACGUUGUUCGGAAUUAUUGGGCGUAAAGCGCGCGCAGGCGGUCCUUUAAGUCUGAUGUGAAAGCCCACGGCUCAACCGUGGAGGGUCAUUGGAAACUGGAGGACUUGAGUACAGAAGAGGAAAGCGGAAUUCCACGUGUAGCGGUGAAAUGCGUAGAGAUGUGGAGGAACACCAGUGGCGAAGGCGGCUUUCUGGUCUGUAACUGACGCUGAGGCGCGAAAGCGUGGGGAGCAAACAGG
rnacentral:rRNA from 1 species